ACUCAAAUGAAUAGACGGGGACCCGCACAAGCGGUGGAGCAUGUGGAUUAAUUCGAUACUAACCGAAGAACCUUACCCAGGUUUGACAUUGAAGGAAAGGCCGGGAAAUCGGCCCCUCGCUCACAAGGCGACCUGAAAACAGAUGUUGCAUGGCUGUCGUCAGCUCGUGCCGUGAGGUGUGCGGUUAAGUCCGUAAACGAGCGCAACCCUCGUCCUAUGUUGCCAGCGGGAAAGCCGGGAACUCAUAGGAGACCGCCGGUGUAAGCCGGAGGAAGGUGGGGAUGAUGUCAAGUCAGCAUGGCUCUUACGCCUGGGGCUUCACACAUGCUACAAUGGACGCAACAAAGGGCAGCAAUACCGCGAGGUGGAGCCAACCCCAAAAAUACGUCCCCAGUUCAGAUUGCAGUCUGCAACUCGACUGCAUGAAGGCGGAAUCGCUAGUAAACGCAGGUCAGCUAUACUGCGUUGAAUACGUUCCCGGGUCUUGCACACACCGCCCGU
rnacentral:rRNA from 1 species